AUGCAAGCUUGCUGUUUGCUGACUAGUGGCGGACGGGUGAGUAAUGUCUGGGAAACUGCCUGAUGGAGGGGGAUAACUACUGGAAACGGUAGCUAAUACCGCAUAACGUCGCAAGACCAAAGAGGGGGACCUUCGGGCCUCUUGCCAUCGGAUGUGCCCAGAUGGGAUUAGCUAGUAGGUGGGGGUAACGGCUCACCUAGGCGACGAUCCCUAGCUGGUCUGAGAGGAUGACCAGCCACACUGGAACUGAGACACGGUCCAGACUCCUACGGGAGGCAGCAGUGGGGAAUAUUGCACAAUGGGCGCAAGCCUGAUGCAGCCAUGCCGCGUGUAUGAAGAAGCCAUUCGGGUUGUAAAGUACUUUCAGCGGGGAGGAAGGUGUUGAGGUUAAUAACCUCAGCAAUUGACGUUACCCGCAGAAGAAGCACCGGCUAACUCCGUGCCAACAGCCGCGGUAAUACGGAGGGUGCAAGCGUUAAUCGGAAAUUACUGGGCGUUAAGCGCACGCAGGCGGUCUGUCAAGUCGGAUGUGAAAUUCCCCGGGCUCAACCUGGGAACUGCAUUCAACUGGCAGGCUAAAGUCUUGUAAAGGGGGUAAAUUCCAGGUGUUCGGUAAAUGCGUUAAUCUGGAGGAAUNCGGUGCGAAGGGCCCUGACCAAAUGACCUCAGUCAACGUGGGAGCAAAAGGAUUUAUACCGUUUUCACCCAACAUAUAAUUGGUGUUCCCUAGGGUUUUCGCGACUACCCUUUCCCCUGGGAUGGCCGUUAAACCAAAAUUAGGG
rnacentral:rRNA from 1 species